ACGGCUCAGUAACACGUAGUCAACAUAACCAAAGGACGUGGAUAAACUCGGGAAACUGAGGCUAAACCGCGAUAGAUCAAGAUACCUGGAAUGGUUUUUGAUCAAAAUCUAUAUGGCCUUUGGAUUGGACUGCGUCCGAUCAGGCUGUUGGUGAAGUAAUGGCCCACCAAACCUGUAACCGGUACGGGCUCUGAGAGGAGGAGCCCGGAGAUGGGUACUGAGAAAAGGACCCAGGCCCUAUGGGGCGCAGCAGGCGCGAAACCUCUGCAAUAGGCGAAAGCCUGACAGGGUUACUCUGAGUGACUUUCGCUAAGAAAGUCUUUUGACACCUCUAAAAAUGGUGUAGAAUAAGGGGUGGGCAAGUCUGGUGUCAGCCGCCGCGGUAAUACCAGCACCCCGAGUGGUCGGGACGAUUAUUGGGCCUAAAGCAUCCGUAGCCGGUUUUACAAGUCCUCCGUUAAAUCCAGCUGCUUAACAGAUGGGCUGCGGAGGAUACUAUAAGACUAGGAGGCAGGAGAGGCAAGCGGUACUCAGUGGGUAGGGGUAAAAUCCGUUGAUCCAUUGAAGACCACCAGUGGCGAAGGCGGCUUGCCAGAAUGCGCUCGACGGUGAGGGAUGAAAGCUGGGGGAGCAAACCGGAUUAGAUACCCGGGUAGUCCCAGCUGUAAACGAUGCAGACUCGGUGAUGGACUAGCUUUAUGCUAGUCCAGUGCCGCAGGGAAGCCGUUAAGUCUGCCGCCUGGGUAGUACGGUCGCAAGACUGAAACUUAAAGGAAUUGGCGGGGGAGCACCACAAGGGGUGAAGCCUGCGGUUCAAUUGGAGUCAACGCCGGA
rnacentral:rRNA from 1 species